rnacentral:lncRNA from 1 species
CAGCAAAAAGUCAAGAUGUAUUUGAAAAAUUAUUGUGAAGUGGAUUGAAACUGCAUGACCUGAUUGUCCUUAAUGAUGUCCAAGUAUACAAAUGUAUUUUUAGCAUAGGCAUAGCCUCAUAAAUUCAUAGUAUGAGUUUUCAUACAAAUUUGCUGGAAAUUAGUAAUUCCAAUUUAUAAUAAUUCUUGAAAUAUGUAUAUUUUGAUAUUUUCUGGUGAGAUUUUGGCCAUCAGCUCUAUGAAGCAUUUGUUUUUGCAGAUAUUCUGAACCACAGAAGGCUGACUUGUUCUGCCUCAUAAUGACUUGACUUUGGUCAUUGAAAAAUGCUUGAGCUAAAGGAAGUCCGUAGUCCCUAUUUAUAUUCAGCUUUUACUAAAACACAUUUAUGGCAGAAAUUUAACAAGGAUUUAAGUCUUUGAGACAAUUUUUUAUUUUAAAGAAUGAGGAAACUACUACACAGAGUGAUUCUUUUCUUUCACUGAAGCUCCCAAUAAAAAAUAUAUACAAUUUACAAAUUAGGCUUCAAUAUUCCUUUCAUAAGAUCUAACAACUUGCUGUGCCAUUCUAGUUGUUUGGGAAAGGGUUGGCCACCCAGGAAGCUACCAAAGGGCACUGGAUUGAUGGUGUCACCUACUGACCAAAAUCCAAACCACCAGGACACAAUCACCUACCUCCUCUCUGGGGCUCUCAAAGUCA